UACACAUUCUGGAAGAAAACUUGUACCUGUCAUUUUUGACAAUUCUUCGACGCUUCAAAAGUUAACCUCAAAGAUUACUUGUUUAUUUAUUUUGUUUUUCAAAAUGAGUUUUCUAUUCUGUUGUGUUGGUUUAUUAAAAGGUGAAAAUGUUAAUGUGCAAAAAUGGGACUAAUCCAAUGGUAUCUUAAAUGCCCGUUGGCUCGACAUUCAUGAAAAUAAUCGUUGCAUGAAAAUCAAGUACAAAUUACUUGUUUUAUUAUUUCUUAGUUUUCUUGUUGAUAUUUUGUUAAUUUAAGGUUCAGUUUGGUUUAAUAGUGAGUCUUAGUUAAGUGUUAGUGUUUUGUGGUUAUGUGAAGUGAAUAAACUCUUUGGGAACACUUGAUUCAGGAGGAUUUUGUGGCAGGUAAGUCUUAUAUUCUGCAAGACAGCGGGUUCGAGGUUCGGGAGAGAAUUGAGAUACAUUUUAUUACUUCGAAGAAAGGUAAUAAGUUGCUAGUCUUCAAACAGUAUACUUAUGCAAAGAAUUUUGAGAGUAAAUACGGAGUCUCUUGGACUUGUUCUUCACGGUGUUCUAAGAAAUGUCAGGCGCAGGUUACCUUGAG